GUAGUACUCUCUCCGUCUGAAAAAUACUUGUCAUCAAAAUGGAUAAAGAGAGAUGUAUCUCGAACUAAAAUACGUCUAGAUACAUCGCCUUUUAUCCAUUUUGAUGACAAGUAUUUUCGGACGGAGGGAGUACUAG
rfam:Triticum aestivum genome assembly, contig: Triticum_aestivum_CS42_TGACv1_scaffold_559264_7AL